rnacentral:rRNA from 1 species
ACGGAGGGAGCUAGCGUUGUUCGGAAUUACUGGGCGUAAAGCGCACGUAGGCGGCUUUGUAAGUUAGGGGUGAAAGCCUGGAGCUCAACUUCAGAAUUGCCCUUAAGACUGCAUCGCUUGAAUCCAGGAGAGGUGAGUGGAAUUCCGAGUGUAGAGGUGAAAUUCGUAGAUAUUCGGAAGAACACCAGUGGCGAAGGCGGCUCACUGGUCCAUUACUGACGCUGAGGUGCGAAAGCGUGGGGAGCAAACAGG